UAUCUUUCAAUAUAAGCAAAACAUAUAUAUAAUAAAUAUGUUAUUUAGUAAAAAUAGAUGACUAUGGCGAUAAAUAGUCAAUGUAAUAAGCUUGUUGGACCCGGGGGCGGUACCCGGCGCCUCCACCAUGUAUAUAAGAGAAUAUCAAGUUUUCAGUAUUAUUCUCAAUAGUAAGGGGGCGAAAUAGGAUAGACAAGAGUGUAAAGAUUGAAAGUUCGCUCGGCAUUGUACCACCGUUAUCGGACUAAAAAUAUAGUUGCAAAUGACAACUUCGCUGGGAAAAAUCUCGUUGCCGCUUAAGUCAACGUGAUUUCUCAACUUAACUCCUGAUGGGUUGCACUGUCAGGCGGGGUUCGGAGGCACCUGGCAACAGAAGCCUCCUUU
rnacentral:tmRNA from 1 species